rnacentral:rRNA from 1 species
UAGGGAAUCUUCGGCAAUGGACGGAAGUCUGACCGAGCAACGCCGCGUGAGUGAAGAAGGUUUUCGGAUCGUAAAGCUCUGUUGUAAGAGAAGAACGAGUGUGAGAGUGGAAAGUUCACACUGUGACGGUAUCUUACCAGAAAGGGCGGGCUAAUUCCGUCCCACCACCCGCGGUAAUAGGUAGGUCCCGAGCGUUGUCCGGAUUUAUUGGGCGUAAAGCGAGCGCAGGCGGUUAGAUAAGUCUGAAGAAAAGGCUGUGGNUUAACCAUAGUACGCUUUGGAAACUGUUUAACUUGAGUGCAGGAGGGGAGAGUGGAAUUCCAUGUGUAGCGGUGAAAUGCGUAGAUAUAUGGAGGAACACC